CCCUUAGAUGUUCUGGGCCGCACGCGCGCUACAAUGAUGCAUUCAACGAGUCUAAAACCUGGUCUGAUAGGGCUGGGUAAUCUUUUGAAAGUGCAUCGUGAUUGGGAUAGAUGAUUGCAAUUCUUCAUCUUCAACGAGGAAUGCCUAGUAAACGCAAGUCAUCAGCUUGCAUUGAUUACGUCCCUGCCCUUUGUACACACCGCCCGUCGCUCCUACCGAUUGAAUGAUCCGAUGAAUACCAUGGAUUGAGAGUACGAAUGGGUUCGCUCAUUUCUGCUGCUCGAGAAGUGGAGUAAAUCUUAUCAUUUAGAGGAAGGAGAAGUCGUAACA
rnacentral:rRNA from 1 species